CCUACGGGUGGCAGCAGUAGGGAAUAUUGGACAAUGGAGGAAACUCUGAUCCAGCCAUCCCGCGUGAAGGAUUAAGGUCCUAUGGAUUGUAAACUUCUUUUCUUUGGGAAUAAAAUCUCCGAUUCCUCGGAGCUUGAAGGUACCAGGGGAAUAAGCACCGGCUAACUCCGUGCCAGCAGCCGCGGUAAUACGGAGGGUGCAAGCGUUAUCCGGAUUCACUGGGUUUAAGGGGGUUUUAUAUGGCAUUGGAGAAAGCCUACAGCUUAACUGUAGAAUUGCCAUUGAUACUGCUUAACUUGAAUCAAGUCGAAGUGUAUGGAAUAGAUCAUGUAGCGGUGAAAUGCUUAGAUAUGAUUUAGAACACCAAUUGCGAAGGCAGUUCACUAGGCUUGUAUUGACACUGAGGCACGAAAGCGUGGGGAUCAAACAGGAUUAGAUACCCUUGUAGUC
rnacentral:rRNA from 1 species